rnacentral:misc_RNA from 1 species
AACUCUCAAACCUCAUCUUCAUUGAUGAUGGGCUUGGAUUUGGACGCUUGCUGGACUUUAACGGUUCGGCUCGUCUUGAAUGCAUUAGCUGACGAUUUCGACUUCAGUUAAACCGUGUGAUAAUACAUCAACGCGGGCAGCCGUCAAGGCGCUGGGUCGUCAUUAGAAGGCUUCUAAUCGUCCUUUACGGGACCGCCUUUACUGGCGUUUCAUUUCAC